rnacentral:pre_miRNA from 1 species
AGCCUUCUCUAUCUGUGCUGAGAUUUCGUCACACCACCAGGCCACAGGGGCUGAUGAGACUUCCAAGAUAAGUGAACUG